rnacentral:tRNA from 1 species
GCCGAUGUGGUGGAAUUGGUAGACACGCGACACUCAAAAUGUCGUGGGCGUAAGCUCGUGUCGGUUCGACUCCGACCAUCGGCA